AGUGAACGCUGGCGGUAGGCCUAACACAUGCAAGUCGAACGGCAGCACAGUAAGGGCUUGCUCUUACGGGUGGCGAGUGGCGGACGGGUGAGGAAUACAUCGGAAUCUACUUUUUCGUGGGGGAUAACGUAGGGAAACUUACGCUAAUACCGCAUACGACCUACGGGUGAAAGCAGGGGAUCUUCGGACCUUGCGCGAUUGAAUGAGCCGAUGUCGGAUUAGCUAGUUGGCGGGGUAAAGGCCCACCAAGGCGACGAUCCGUAGCUGGUCUGAGAGGAUGAUCAGCCACACUGGAACUGAGACACGGUCCAGACUCCUACGGGAGGCAGCAGUGGGGAAUAUUGGACAAUGGGCGCAAGCCUGAUCCAGCCAUACCGCGUGGGUGAAGAAGGCCUUCGGGUUGUAAAGCCCUUUUGCUGGGAAAGAAAAGCAGCAGGUUAAUACCCCGCUGUUCUGACGGUACCCAAAGAAUAAGCACCGGCUAACUUCGUG
rnacentral:rRNA from 1 species